GAUGAACGCUGGCGGCGUGCUUAACACAUGCAAGUCGAACGAAGCACUCUAUUUGAUUUUUUUCGGAAAUGAAGAUUCUGUGACUGAGUGGCGGACGGGUGAGUAACGCGUGGGUAACCAGCCUCAUACAGGGGGAUAACAGUUGGAAACGACUGCUAAUACCGCAUAAGCGCACGGUAUCGCAUGGUACAGUGUGAAAAACUCCGGUGGUAUGAGAUGGACCCGCGUCUGAUUAGCUAGUUGGUGGGGCAACGGCCUACCAAGGCGACGAUCAGUAGCCGACCUGAGAGGGUGACCGGCCACAUUGGGACUGAGACACGGCCCAAACUCCUACGGGAGGCAGCAGUGGGGAAUAUUGCACAAUGGGGGAAACCCUGAUGCAGCGACGCCGCGUGAACGAAGAAGUAUUUCGGUAUGUAAAGUUCUAUCAGCAGGGAAGAUAAUGACGGUACCUGACUAAGAAGUACCGGCUAAAUACGUGCCAGCCGCCGCAGUAA
rnacentral:rRNA from 1 species